rnacentral:rRNA from 1 species
AGUGAACGCUGGCGGUAGGCCUAACACAUGCAAGUCGAACGGCAGCACAGUAAGAGCUUGCUCUUACGGGUGGCGAGUGGCGGACGGGUGAGGAAUACAUCGGAAUCUACUUUUUCGUGGGGGAUAACGUAGGGAAACUUACGCUAAUACCGCAUACGACCUACGGGUGAAAGCAGGGGAUCUUCGGACCUUGCGCGAUUGAAUGAGCCGAUGUCGGAUUAGCUAGUUGGCGGGGUAAAGGCCCACCAAGGCGACGAUCCGUAGCUGGUCUGAGAGGAUGAUCAGCCACACUGGAACUGAGACACGGUCCAGACUCCUACGGGAGGCAGCAGUGGGGAAGAUUGGACAAUGGGCGCAAGCCUGAUCCAGCCAUACCGCGUGGGUGAAGAAGGCCUUCGGGUUGUAAAGCCCUUUUGUUGGGAAAGAAAAGCAGCAGGUUAAUACCCCGCUGUUCGGACGGUACCCAAAGAAUAAGCACCGGCUAACUUCGU